CGGCGGUCAUAGCGUGGGGGAAACGCCCGGUUCCAUUCCGAACCCGGAAGCUAAGGCCCACAGCGCCGAUGGUACUGCAGGUUGGGGUCAUGGGGUCCUUCGGCGGGAGGGGCGGCGCGGUGAUUGA
rnacentral:rRNA from 2 species